rnacentral:rRNA from 1 species
GCUACGGGUGGCAGCAGUGAGGAAUAUUGGUCAAUGGGCGCGAGCCUGAACCAGCCAAGUAGCGUGAAGGAUGACUGCCCUACGGGUUGUAAACUUCUUUUAUAAAGGAAUAAAGUGAGGCACGUGUGCCUUUUUGUAUGUACGUUAUGAAUAAGGAUCGGCUAACUUCGUGCCAGCAGCCGAGGUAAUACGGAGGAUCCGAGCGUUAUCCGGAUUUAUGUGGUUUAAAGGGAGCGUAGCUGGGUUGUUUAGUUAGUUGGUAAAUGUUUGGGCUCAAACGUUAAAUUGCAAUUGAUACGGGCCGUCUUGAGUACUGUUGAGGUAGGUGGAAUUCGUGGUGUAGCGGUGAAA